CAACAGAUGAAGCUUCAGCAUUGAGAACACAAUUGCGCACUAAUGACUGGAGACAAAGACAAAGUUACAGAACACAGGAGGAGGUGGCCAUAUAAGCUAGAGCCUGUCACUAACCUGUGUCCUUUCAAUAACAGGGCAACAGGGAAACCAUAAAAGGCAAAAAGAGAGGACUGAAAAAAUAGAGGUUCAUCAUCCCUAUUGUGCUCCUCAGUCUCCGAUCUGACCGUUCUCACAAUGCAUAUACUGCAGAUCAGCGCUGUGGUUUCUGCUUUCACCAGCCUUCUCCUCCUCCUCAUCGCCCUGGGCUCAGCCUACUGGCUGCAAAGUGACAAUGCGAACAGUGGCCUCUGGGUAGCUUGCGGCCCUAUCUUUUCAAUCUAUACUUGUUACUCACCUUCGAUUAAUGCCGUGCAAGGUUUCUACCAUGCUACCCGAGCCUUCAUGUUCUUCGGGAUGAUUGCUGGAGCCAUCUCUUGUAUUGGCCUUUGUUGCAACUUCUUUUCCUUCCAACUUGGCUUCAUCUCCAAGACCAAGAACUCCGCUAAAGCCAGCCUUGUUGCAGGUAUCAUGGGGGUUCUGAGCAUCUGCGUCCACACUAAGCCCAAGCCCCUAAAACCCCAGAAAUCCGAG
rnacentral:lncRNA from 1 species